rnacentral:rRNA from 1 species
AUGGCGACUUUCCACAUCUCCGCUCUCAGCCUGCCGAAAUGGAUCCUGGGAAAGGUUGAGAAGAUCAUUCGCAUGUUUCUAUGGCAGAAAUAGGACGAAACACAAACUUCUGGAGGGCACUCCCUCGUUAACUGGAAGACCGACUGUCGUCCAAGGAGGUUGGGCGGCCUGGGAAUCGCGGACCAUGAGGGUUUUGGCCGCGCCCUCCGCCUUCGCUGGCCCUGGUUACAAUGGACGGACCCGGAGAGGCCAUGGGUGGGCUCUGGCCUGCCAUGCGACCAGGCCGAUAUGAACCAUUUUCGCGCAAGCACAACCAUAACUUUGGGAGAUGGCCACAAGGCACUUUUCUGGCAUGACAACUAGAGCGGAAGGGGCCCUCUAAUACUACUUGCUCCGGAGCUUUACAAAAUGGCUUCAAGGAAAUAUAGGACCGUGCAUCACGAGUUGACAAAUGAUAACUGGAUCAGAGCAGUCGCUAGCCUUCGAUCCCUGCAACAACUGGGGGAAUGUUUCACUCUAUCAGGAUAGAUUAGCCAGACAGUUCUGCUGCCAGAUCAGGACGACACAAUCUCCUGGAACCUGACCACUAAUGGAGCCUACUCUUCCGCAUCGGCCUAUGCGGCGCAGUUCUGUGGCUCACACCCAAGAUUUGACUCUUCAAAGGUCUGGUCUGCUUAUGCUGAGCCCAAGUGCAAAUUCUUUGCGUGGCUAGUCCUGGAUGGUAGAAUCCUCACCGCAGAUAUGUUGGCUAUUCGCGGUUGGCCACAUGACCCAAGGUGUCAGCUAUGUCUUCAGCAGCCAGAAACGGCAACCCAUCUUCGCAAGGACUAUCCCUUCGCGGUCGCUGUUUGGAACCAGGUAAACACCUGGGCAAACGAGGGUCUCGCCAUAGUUUCUUGCCUGAGCUUGGCGUUGUUUCUGACUGGUGGGUCAAGAUGCUAG